AACGCGAAGAACCUUACCUGGGCUUGACAUGUGCCUGACCGCCCUGGAAACAGGGCUUCCCUUCGGGGCAGGUUCACAGGUGGUGCAUGGCUGUCGUCAGCUCGUGUCGUGAGAUGUUGGGUUAAGUCCCGCAACGAGCGCAACCCCCGUCGCAUGUUGCCAGCAUUUAGUUGGGGACUCAUGCGAGACUGCCGGUGACAAACCGGAGGAAGGUGGGGAUGACGUCAAGUCAUCAUGCCCCUUAUGUCCAGGGCUACACACGUGCUACAUUGGCGCAUACAGAGGGCUGCGAUACCGCGAGGUGGAGCGAAUCCCUUAAAGUGCGUCUCGGUUCGGAUUGCAGGCUGAAACUCGCCUGCAUGAAGGCGGAGUUGCUAGUAAUCGCGGAUCAGCAUUGCCGCGGUGAAUACGUUCCCGGGCCUUGUACACACCGCGCAUA
rnacentral:rRNA from 1 species